UUUUUGCUAAAAUUGUGAUUUUUUUAUUUUUAUUUUUCAGAACUAAAAUUGUGAUGGGAAUCGGUUUAUAGAUUUAUACAUAAGAAGACGUUCCGGAGUUUUCAGCCAUCUUUUGGAAAUUUUGGAAUUUCAAGAAGUAGACGAGUACCUACUAUUAAAAUUGCCAAAAUCAACUCGAGCACGUACGAAUAUGCGAUUGGUGCCUCUUAGUAACCCAUUCGAUGAUUCGACCAGUUUUAAACACCGAUUUUCCAAAAGUAUCACUUCAAUAGGUAUAUAAAUUCAAAAUCGACUAUUGUGGAACAAACGAACUAUCCGGAUGAACGACGUAUUGGGAAUCUUCACGCAUUUGACAAAUUCCGGACCAUCGGACGAAAAAUGCUCAAAAUCGAACAAAAAGCCUGUAUCAUUUAGGCGAGGAUCAGCGGAACGAUCAAUUGUUGGAAUGCGAAGCCGCGAAGGUUGUGCAGAAAAGAAAGAGACUCGGAGAAAAAGAAAUAUGUACCUAAAGACCGCGACUAAAUGAAAUUCCUUCGCCCUACGAAAACGAAACGAAACUGGAGAAAAAAAGGAAGAAAAAUACCUCGAAGAAAAUCAACAAAAGUGUACAAAGAUGCGGUCAAAUAUUUGAUAAGAUAGUCCUUGAACUCAAACUAUAUAUCUAGUUAUCUAGCAAGCACCAACAACACUAUCCUAUCCAGCAAGCAGAUGACGCCUUCGAGUAUAUGGUAUCAAUGACGUAACCGCAACAAUAGCGCAUUCGAUCUCACAGAACAGAAACCGGUUAUGCUGAGAAGCCGUUUUGGAACGCAGCUUUACAACUUGGAGUCGACGUCGACGACGGUGCUAUAGGUACUCGACUUGGAGAUGGAAUAAGGACACGAAGUAUGGAUUUGGCAAAAGACCUACCUACCUAUAAGAUGGUGAACUUGGACGACGUUCUCUCCUCGUAAGAAGAUCAACAAACCUACGUAAUCUUGUUCUAUUGUUCGAGAAUGUAGUGAUAGCGCAGGUACAAACAAAGAUAAGUUACGGGUCCUGUGUUCCUCUAUCUAGGCUACGUACUGUAUUACGAUGUCUCAGUUUAUGAGAGAACAUUUAGGGAUCGAAGUUUACAAAUGAGAUGGAUACUGGUGCCGGAGGUUGGGGAAGAGUUCUCUUUAUGGCAUCCUGACACCCUCGUACUCCACAAGGGCGAAAUUUAAACCCACGAGUGUUGCACCCUACCUCAUAUAGGUAAGUAAAAGUAAUCGAAUCUGAUCGUCGUACGAGUAUUAUAAGCAGUAAAUACUGUUUUUUAACGUGUGAAACCUUCCAACAUCAUCUAAGGUUUAUAAACUCGACGUACCUAUAACCAAUACAGCAGGCCUAUCGAUCGUAAAGUUUUUCAUUACCGUCUACACGGUGAUUUUUUUUCACCUUCGUAAGCAUAAAUGCUGCGAGAAGAAAAGCAGGUGACUAGACCGAUACUGCCACCAUGAUUAUUAAAUUCUCUCAGCUGCCUGCGAGUUGGAGUUUUUUUCCAAGCCAAGACUACCCAGUUGGAGCUCCGCACGUACCUAGGCGCUCGAAGUCGAGUACCAAUAUAUGGAUUGAUUAAAUAAUAAAAAAUGUACUGUGUGUUUAGAACUAGGUUACUUUUACCUGCAUCGAAUCCUUUUUGAAUACUUCGGCAAACAUUACAGCGUUUUGGAAAGGUGGUGACGCAGAAAGAACAGCGGGAUAAGAGUGAAAAAAAACCACCCACACACGCGAGAUCGACCACUCUCAGCUACGGAGACAAUGCGCCGACCGAUUCGAGAAUAAUAAAUGAAAAAUGCUGAAAAAUGAUUCGCAUCGUUGCUCGACACGUACUCGAACCACCGACACCGACGAUCAACUUUCAAGAGCUUACGAACACACUGGCAAUGGCAAAAUAUGUGGAAUAUAAAAUUUACACUACUUCAUUUCGGUGCGGCGGAAGGCUCAUUGACGUUGUUUGAUAAAGAUAAUAGGUACCUAAAUACGCACAAAGAUACGCGAUAUUCUGCUAUCUCUCGACUACGGUGGCGGCGGUGUAAUUAACGAACGACGAGUCGAUUCGAGAAUAGCAUUUACAAAAAUUACGUACGUAGCUCUACGAGUAAAUUUUUCGAUAAAAAUUGAAAAAUUCGGCACCGAUCACCGAUUGUGUGUGGCUACAUUAUUACAAAAUAAAGAUGGUAACACAAGAGGCCACAUGCACUCCGAAGUGUGUACGAACCGAAUGCAACUCAGCUACUAGCUCGCCGCUCGCUGCUCGCAGUGCUCGGAAUCGCGAUCUGCACCGUCGUCCGCGCUAUAUGCCUGCCUAAGUAUAAGCCUUAAGGUACCAAACGUUAACCGGCCGCCGCCGUACCUUCUUAUACACCUUUGAUGAUGUCGAUGAUGAUGAUGAUGGUUGUGUGAUGCUGCAGCUGUUACCGCCUGCGCUGCGUCAUCGUCUUCUUUCUUCUCCAUCUGCGCCUCACCUUCUUCUUAAGUUAAGUCUUUCUUCGACUUUGGUCGGUUCGGUUUGGUUUUUGUGAAUAACCAGCGAACGUAUUAUAUUGUGAGAGAGGAUAACGGCGAACGGGAGGUGAUGGCGGCGGCGACCGGGACCGGGGACCGCGAUCGUCGGUCGCGCGGUGGCGGUGGUGGUGCUCGCGAAGGCGGAGGUGAUUAUACCUGUAAAUAAACUGCAAUCGUGACAUUCCAAAUGGAUCAGUGUAGCCCAAGUGGCAACUUUUUUUCCUACUUCGAAGAUUUCCUCCCGAGUUCUGUGUGUACCUCUACCUGGUCUCGUCAGGUAUGCAGAAUGGCCGUUGCACUGCGCUAGCUAUGCUCGUAGUGUGCCCCUGCUGGCUGAACUUAUAAUAUGCUGCUCGAACAAUAGGAAGUGAUCAACUUGGUUGAUAGUGAAAGGAUCACUCACUGUUCACUGGCUCUUGAGUAGGCAUAGGAUGGUCAAGGGACACCCCUAUUACAAGAAUUGGCUCAAUUUGAUCUCGAGAAUCGUCGAAAAUCUGCUGUAGAAUAGAACAAGGUAUCUGGUGGCGGAUGUCGAGUUUCGAGACCUGAAUAUUGCAGCCUCCUGAGAUAGCGUAGACCUGGAACGAAAAUUCACUAUCGAUGUGUAACUCGAAGAAACCAAUGCAAGACGCAAGACUCCUUCUGAUUGAUUGUCUGCAACCACGAGUGCAUUGAAAUAUGAUGGAUUGCAUUUUUUUCGAUGUUUAAAUCUGUGCAAUUGGUUAUAUCCGAGCUCGAGCUGAAAAUACGAAGGAAAAUCCGCCUUAUGUUUGAAAUUUUGAAACAGAAUGGACGAGUUGAA